ACAAUUCAUGUGUGUUUGAAACUGGUCAAUAUGUAGGUGAUCUAGCUGAUCCAACUGCACCGAAUGCUCUGCUGGUCGGUGGCUUGGCUAAGCCAAAUCAUGUCUCGGUCACUGGAUCAGAAUUGCAACUGGAUCGGCCAGUCGGUGAUGCCAUAAUCUAAGUGGAUAAGACUGCUGCUCCUGAUCAUGUAGUAGGUGAUCCAGCUGCUGAUUUGGUUCCAUUCCAACCAAGACUGACCUCCGUUUCCAGAGCCAUGCUGUUCUUGCGUUGCAAAAGGCUGUCGAGGCAUAUUUCUUUUUGUCGAAGCCGAUAGGUUACUAGGGGAAAUAGGUGUUUACUAUCAGUCAUAUUAAUUGUGAUAGGCAAAUAUAGCUAAAAGUUUGUGAAGGUCUGAUUUUUAGAAGUUUGGCAUGUAAUUGAUUUUUUCCAAGUAGGUGAUCCAGCUGCUGAUUUGGUUCUAGUCCAACCAUGGGAUGAAUUUUCAUAUAAUUUGAAUUUUUAUUGAUCUAAAAGAUGCAUUGAACCAUAUCUGUAGCUGCAUAUAUUUCAUAAUUAUUGAAUGGAUUUUAUAUUUUUAACAA